GACGAACGCUGGCGGCGUGCUUAACACAUGCAAGUCGAACGGAAAGGCCUGCUUUCCCUUGUGGAUUGCGGGUACUCGAGUGGCGAACGGGUGAGUAACACGUGAGUGAUCUGCCCCCAACUUGGGUAUAAGCCUGGGAAACUGGGUCUAAUUCCCGAUAGGACUGCAGGGUGGUGCCUGUGGUGGAAAACGAUUUUCUAGUGGUUGGGGAUGAGCUCGCGGCCUAUCAGCUUGUUGGUGGGGUAAUGGCCUACCAAGGCGGCGACGGGUAGCCGGCCUGAGAGGGUGGACGGCCACAUUGGGACUGAGAUACGGCCCAGACUCCUACGGGAGGCAGCAGUGGGGAAUAUUGCACAAUGGGCGGAAGCCUGAUGCAGCGACGCCGCGGGGGGGAUGACGGACUUCGGGUGGUAAACUCCUUUCGACCGCGAGGAAGCCACCUGGUUGGAAGGGUGGUGACGGUAGUGGUAGAAGAAGCACCGGCUAACUACGUG
rnacentral:rRNA from 1 species